GCAGAAGGGCUGGGAGGUCCCCACCCCAGGCCCCCUCAUUUCCAGUGAGGCCUGCAGAAGACCCAGAAAAUUUCUCAUAGGCCCUGAGGAGGAAAAGAACAGAAAAUUAGUCUGUGUGCCAGGAAUCUGGGUGCCACUUAGGCGGGCCUGCUGGCUCAGGGUCUCUCACAGGCUGAAAUCAAGGUGUCACCUGAGGCUACCAUCAUCUCAAGGCUUAACUGGCAAAGGAUGUACAUUCAGCCACCCUAGAUGGUUGUUGGCAGGACGCAAACUCCUCGUGGGCUAUUGAAUUGAGGACCUCUGUUUAUUGUUCUUGUCAGCCCAAGGCUGCCCUGAGUUCCUUGCCAUAAGGACCUCUCCAUAAGGCAGCUUGCAACAUGGGAGGUGCUUCAUCAGAGCCAGCUGGUGACAGAGUACAAGCAAGAUGAAAGUGACAGUCUUCUAUAACCUGAUCUUGGAAGUGACAGCCUAUCAUUUUUGCCAUAUUCUUCUCAUUAGAAGCAAGUCAAUAGUCCCACACUCUAAGUAAGGAGAUUGCAGAAGGGCAUAAAUAGGAGGAGAUGGGGAUUGCUGAAGGCCAAUUCAGAAGCUGCCUGCCUAGAACCAAGGAGUAUACGAAGCAUGCACAAGAUGGUUCAUCCUGGCAGAGGAGGAACAGUUCUUCCCUCAUAACCGAGCUGGAGAGGCACACGUGGCAGAAGGUAGAGGUGCGAAUUCACAGAAAUCAAGGAUGUAAGAUGAAGGUAUGUCUUCCAACAUACGGCAACAUCCAGUUGAUUCACUGAACUGAGAAAUGGGUGUAUACCUGUAAAAGAAAGGAAGAGCUAGCUUCAGUAUGCAGCCUAGUGAAACUGGAAUCAGAACAGAAUGAAUACGAUGAACUGGAAAUGUCAUGUUAUUGAGCUACAGUCUCUAGAACAGAGACAGUGGCAUCAGUUGGAGUCCUUAAUAUUUGAGGUUUCUUGGCUAAACUAACUUCCCCCAGAGAGGGCUAAGACGGAGGGCUAAGACGGGUAAUACCAUGUCUGCCUGUGACUCUCCUUUUAGUCAAGCUUCUGAGUGGGCUCCACCUCCAUUCAGGAUGAUGGUAGUAACACAGCUAAUGAAAGACAGUUUUCACUGGGUUAGAAAGUCCUAACGGCCAUUUUUUUUCUUUCUUGAGAGUUCUGUGUAAUUUUUUCUUUUUGAAGAGUUCUGUGUUUUUUCAGAGUUCUGAUCUCAUAUGAAAUGAUUUCAAAGUUUAGCUCUCAGUGGGAAAUAAUUUGUCCACAUUCCAGGGAAACAGGAGAAAGCCCCUUAGUUCUAAGAGUAGUACUGACAGUCAUCACCUACAGUCAAAUGAUAUUUUGGGCAAGUCUGCAUUCUUUUAUGAGCCACAAAACCAUAUAGCAGGAACUAAGAUGCAGAGACCCUGUAAUAAAUACAUUCCUUCCACCAGCUCUUAGACAUCGUUCAUAAAUUGUUCCAUUUGACAGUGAACAGGGAAAAUGGAUGAGAAACGUGGCCUCAAGCAUAUAAUGUAUAUGUGGUCAAAGAGUCAUGACCCAUGUGGCCACAUUACCAGAUUAUAUCUUAUUCUCACUUUCUCUACAAUAGGAUAAGCACCAACAGGAUAGAAAUACACUCUUCUCUCCAAUUUAAUUAUACCUUUAUUAUUACUUUUCUUAUAUGCACACAAGCAGCAACAGCUAAUGUAAAGUGGAAAUUGUAAUACAAUUUCCAUACUGUGUCUUUGUUGACUACAAAAUUAUAUAAAAAAUGUGUCUCACCCUUUAGUUGGGACCAUUUAGAAGCCUGAGGGCAAUUACACAGAGUGUAUUGGAGUUAGCCGCACAAUCUCCUAAUGGCAGCUUGGCCCAAAGCCAAGCUUUAAGCCAAACCUCAGGGAAUUCAAAUUUAAAAGUCAGCUACAUUAGUGGUAGUGAUUCAGUUUGGAGAAGAUAUCGCUUUUCGUGAUUUAUUACAGCCAGUGCUUUCAGUACAUUUAAAAGAUGGUCUAGCUUAGUUGCAUUUUCAAAGGAGCGCUACUGCAUAAAAUGAGGAACAUCUGAACUGAAAGCUAUCAGAAUGGAAAAGCUUGACUAGGGCUUGAAUUAUGUGGAAAGCGUAAUUCUUAGAAAUAGGUCCUCAAACACACAAGAAUCUGCAAAAAUGAGCUAUACUUUCAACCCCCCAAUAUCUAACCCUCGUGAUCAUUUGGUAGAGAAGGGUCUGUUACUGUCAAGUAUUUUUAAAUGACUGCAAAGACAUUAAUUCCCUAGGUGCAGAAUAAUCAUUCAGUAUCAAGAAUAAACAUAUAAUUUAAAAUAUUA
rnacentral:lncRNA from 10 species